rnacentral:rRNA from 1 species
GACAGAGGGUGCAAACGUUGUUCGGAAUUACUGGGCGUAAAGGGCGCGUAGGCGGGCUGGCAAGUCGGUCGUGAAAUCCCUCGGCUCAACCGAGGAACGUCGAUCGAUACUGCUGUUCUUGAGGAUUGCAGAGGAGACUGGAAUUCCCGGUGUAGCGGUGAAAUGUGUAGAGAUCGGGAGGAACACCGGUGGCGAAGGCGGGUCUCUGGCCUGUUCUCGACGCUGAGGCGCGAAAGCUGGGGGAGCAAACGGG